CGGAAAUACUUGUCAUCAAAAUGGAUAAAAGGGAUGUAUCUAGAUGUAUUUUAGUUUUAGAUACAUCCCUUUUUGUCCAUUUUGAUGACAAGUAUUUUCG
rnacentral:pre_miRNA from 1 species